AGUGAACGCUGGCGGUAGGCCUAACACAUGCAAGUCGAACGGCAGCACAGUAAGAGCUUGCUCUUACGGGUGGCGAGUGGCGGACGAGUGAGGAAUACAUCGGAAUCUACUUUUUCGUGGGGGAUAACGUAGGGAAACUUACGCUAAUACCGCAUACGACCUACGGGUGAAAGCAGGGGAUCUUCGGACCUUGCGCGAUUGAAUGAGCCGAUGUCGGAUUAGCUAGUUGGCGGGGUAAAGGCCCACCAAGGCGACGAUCCGUAGCUGGUCUGAGAGGAUGAUCAGCAACACUGGAACUGAGACACGGUCCAGACUCCUACGGGAGGCAGCAGUGGGGAAUAUUGGACAAUGGGCGCAAGCCUGAUCCAGCCAUACCGCGUGGGUGAAGAAGGCCUUCGGGUUGUAAAGCCCUUUUGUUGGGAAAGAAAAGCAGCAGGUUAAUACCCCGCUGUUCUGACGGUACCCAAAGAAUAAGCACCGGCUAACUUCGUG
rnacentral:rRNA from 1 species